CCCGCUUCCGGCUCCGGGCUGAGGGCGGCAGUGGAUCCCGGGAGGCCGGGCGGCAGAGGCGGCCGGGACACUAACGGAGCUGCGGGCGGCGGGUGACCUGCGGGGGACCGAGACAAAAUCUGGGGCAGCUUCUCUGCUCCACGUCAUCUGUGAAUUUGAUAAGCGAGCCUCCUAUGGUCUCAUCUCAGGCAAGACCGAGGACAGAGCCCUUUGGCAUUCCACUAGAGACCCUCUUCUACGUAAGAUCGGUCCCUUACCAAGCUGGAGUGUGGAUGCCCAGUAAAUUUGAAAGCCGCCCAACCUGCACUCAUCGGUUCUUAAUACCCCCUGGAAUUUACAAGGAUGUCAUGAGGGAUUCAGCCAGCACCUAGCUGAUACCCCAGGGGCCUGUAUCCACUCUGUCUCCCCACUGUGCCCAGAGCCACGAGGAUUAGCGACCCAUUUGCUGUAGUGGCUAUAAACACCUUCUCUCUGUCUACCCUCCUGUAGGGCUGCAAAGCACACCUCUCA